rnacentral:rRNA from 1 species
UAAUACAUGCAAGUCGAACGCUUUUUCUUUCACCGGAGCUUGCUCCACCGAAAGAAAAGGAGUGGCGAACGGGUGAGUAACACGUGGGUAACCUGCCCAUCAGAAGGGGAUAACACUUGGAAACAGGUGCUAAUACCGUAUAACAAUCAAAACCGCAUGGUUUUGAUUUGAAAGGCGCUUUCGGGUGUCGCUGAUGGAUGGACCCGCGGUGCAUUAGCUAGUUGGUGAGGUAACGGCUCACCAAGGCCACGAUGCAUAGCCGACCUGAGAGGGUGAUCGGCCACAUUGGGACUGAGACACGGCCCAAACUCCUACGGGAGGCAGCAGUAGGGAAUCUUCGGCAAUGGACGAAAGUCUGACCGAGCAACGCCGCGUGAGUGAAGAAGGUUUUCGGAUCGUAAAACUCUGUUGUUAGAGAAGAACAAGGAUGAGAGUAACUGUUCAUCCCUUGACGGUAUCUAACCAGAAAGCCACGGCUAACUACGUGCCAGCAGCCGCGGUAAUACGUAGGUGGCAAGCGUUGUCCGGAUUUAUUGGGCGUAAAGCGAGCGCAGGCGGUUUCUUAAGUCUGAUGUGAAAGCCCCCGGCUCAACCGGGGAGGGUCAUUGGAAACUGGGAGACUUGAGUGCAGAAGAGGAGAGUGGAAUUCCAUGUGUAGCGGUGAAAUGCGUAGAUAUAUGGAGGAACACCAGUGGCGAAG